rnacentral:rRNA from 1 species
CCCAGACUCCUACGGGAGGCAGCAGUGGGGAAUAUUGCACAAUGGGGGAAACCCUGAUGCAGCGAUGCCGCGUGGAGGAAGAAGGUUUUCGGAUUGUAAACUCCUUUUAUCAGGGACGAUAAUGACGGUACCUGAAGAAAAAGCUCCGGCUAACUACGUGCCAGCAGCCGCGGUAAUACGUAGGGAGCGAGCGUUGUCCGGAAUUACUGGGUGUAAAGGGAGCGUAGACGGUGCGCCAAGUCUGGAGUGGAAUGCCGCAGCUUAACUGCGGAACUGCUUUGGAAACUGGCGAACUAGAGUGCGGGAGGGGUAAGCGGAAUUCCUAGUGUAGCGGUGAAAUGCGUAGAUAUUAGGAGGGACACCGGUGGCGAAGGCGGCUUACUGGACCGUAACUGACGUUGAGGCUCGAAAGCGUGGGGAGCAAACAGGAUUAGAUACCCCAGUAG